AACCUAUGAUGGGGGCACCGCCUAAGAAUAUCCUUAAACCAUUCAUGUGCCUCUAACAAAGUUUCUGACUCUCCUUGCUUAAAUGUUGAGAUUUCUUAUCUGAUCUU